UUAAAAUUAACUGUAAAAAGAUAAAACUCAAAGUUAAUAGAUAACCAAACACUAAAAAUUUUGAGCUUAAUAACAGAAAUUUUUGGUUGGGGCAACCGCAAAGAAAAACCUUUGUCUAAAAACUAACAAACAACACACAAGUUUAAAAAUCUUUAUGAAAAAUUAAAAUGAUCCAAAUAACAAUUGAUCAAGGAAAAAAGUUACCGCAGGGAUAACAGCGUUAUUUACUCUAAGAGUCCAUAUUGACGAGAAAGUUUGCGACCUCGAUGUUGGAUCAAGGCACCCAUGAAGUGCAGAAGCCUCAAAAGGUAGGUCUGUUCGACCUUUAAAGCCUUACGUGAUCUGAGUUCAGACCGACGCAAGU
rnacentral:rRNA from 1 species